rnacentral:lncRNA from 1 species
CAUUUGUAGACAUUGAAAUUUCGGUGGCAUAAAUGUUAGCCAUUGCAUUAAGAUCACAUUUGUAAAACAUUAAAAUUUUAGUGUAAUAAAUGUUGACCAUUGUAUUAAAAUUACAACCUUCAUUCACUUCACCUACAACAUACACCCAAGUUUCACCUACAACACCCACCAAAAUUCACCUACAACACCCACCAAAAAUUCACCUACAACAUCCACCAAAACAAAUGGAUGGUGGUGAUUCAUUCCCAAGGCCUAUAAAUAGGCUCCUCCAUCAAAGAAUCAUGGGAGGAUUUUGGCAUACACUUUCUCUACUCCCAAAUUGGAAGAGAAUUCGCACCACACCAAAGCCUUGAAGCCUCGAAACUCUGAAGCUCUCAAGCAAAUCCCGAAGGAUCAAGAAAGCCCUCUUCGUUCUUCGUGAAAUCCUCCUUCAAGAUCAAGCCCUAACGCCCCCCUUGAAGAACUUCCACCAAUUCAAGAUCAAGCCCCGACGGCCCUUGAAGAAGGUGUUCAGCAUUCAUCAACUGUUCGUCCAAGAUCAAGCCUCGACGGCCCUUGGAUCAACAACACUACAUCUACACGUUUCAAAGAUAGAAUCAGAGGAUAAAUUUGUAGAAGAGAUUGUAACCCCUAAAUCAUUAAUACAAAUAUUAUUUUGUACACGUGUUCUUGUCUCAUUCAUCGCAGGAAUUUUCCGUGUUUACAUAUAUCUCUAAAUUUUUUUUUUUUUUUGAACAAAUCGAUAUUAUCUAACUAAGGGGAGGGGGUGUCGCCUUUGGCGAGAAUUGAACCUAAGACCUCUCACUAAUUAGUGAGGAGGAAUACCACUAGACCGUAGUACUAGUGGCUUAAAUUUUUCUUUUUAAGUCUCAUUAACAUGGUGGAACUUUUUUUGUUUAAUGCUUUUACAGCCUUGGGCUGGUUUUCUGUACAUUUUUUUUGGCUUUGCCCUUAUGCUGCGUUUAGGUUUGUUUGGUUUCAAAAAAUUUAUUUCUUCCACGAGAUUUGAACCUAAGACCUCUCACUUCCAAGUGAAAAGGAAAUUCAUCAUAUCAUAGUUCUGAGUGACAGUUGAUUUGAUUCUUAAUUGUAAAUAUUCUUAGAGUCCUAUUUUUUUGUAGGGUAAAUUACAUAGUAGCCCCUCAUGUUUGAAGUCUAUUACAACCCCAUACAAUAUCUUUAAAAAAUUUCAUUUUUAUACUUCAAGUACUAUUUUAUUUCAAAAUAAUACAUCCGUUACAUUUUUCAUCAAUUAAUCCAUUAAGUGAUGACGUGUCUGCC